rnacentral:piRNA from 1 species
UAAGUUUCCAAUAUGAGAAUA